CGGCAGCGACAUAAACAAUCCUUCGGGUGCGCUUAUGGGCGGCGAGCGGCGGACGGGUGAGUAAUGCCUGGGAAUAUGCCCUGAUGUGGGGGAUAACCAUUGGAAACGAUGGCUAAUACCGCAUAAUCUCUUCGGAGCAAAGAGGGGGACCUUCGGGCCUCUCGCGUCAGGAUUAGCCCAGGUGAGAUUAGCUAGUUGGUGAGGUAAGAGCUCACCAAGGCGACGAUCUCUAGCUGGUCUGAGAGGAUGAUCAGCCACACUGGAACUGAGACACGGUCCAGACUCCUACGGGAGGCAGCAGUGGGGAAUAUUGCACAAUGGGGGAAACCCUGAUGCAGCCAUGCCGCGUGUGUGAAGAAGGCCUUCGGGUUGUAAAGCACUUUCAGUUGUGAGGAAGGCAUAUGCGUUAAUAGCGUAUGUGUUUGACGUUAGCAACAGAAGAAGCA
rnacentral:rRNA from 1 species